CAAGUACGAGAGGGAAUGCUCGUACCUUGACGGUACCUUGCGAGAAAGCCACGGCUAACUACGUGCCAGCAGCCGCGGUAAUACGUAGGUGGCAAGCGUUGUCCGGAAUUAUUGGGCGUAAAGCGCGCGCAGGCGGCCUUUUAAGUCUGAUGUGAAAGCCCCCGGCUCAACCGGGGAGGGUCAUUGGAAACUGGAAGGCUUGAGUACAGAAGAGAAGAGUGGAAUUCCAUGUGUAGCGGUGAAAUGCGUAGAGAUGUGGAGGAACACCAGUGGCGAAGGCGACUCUUUGGUCUGUAACUGACGCUGAGGCGCGAAAGCGUGGGGAGCAAACAGGAUUAGAUACCCUGGUAGUCCACGCCGUAAACGAUGAGUGCUAGGUGUUGGGGGGUUUCCGCCCCUCAGUGCUGAAGCUAACGCAUUAAGCACUCCGCCUGGGGAGUACGGCCGCAAGGUUAAAACUCAAAGGAAUUGACGGGGACCCGCACAAGCGGUGGAUGAUGUGGUUUAAUUCGAUGCAACGCGAAAAACCUUACCUACCCUUGACAUGCCAGGAACUUACCAGAGAUGGUUUGGUGCUCGAAAGAGAGCCUGGACACAGGUGCUGCAUGGCCGUCGUCAGCUCGUGUCGUGAGAUGUUGGGUUAAGUCCCGCAACGAGCGCAACCCUUGUCAUUAGUUGCUACGAAAGGGCACUCUAAUGAGACUGCCGGUGACAAACCGGAGGAAGGUGGGGAUGACGUCAGGUCAUCAUGGCCCUUAUGGGUAGGGCUACACACGUCAUACAAUGGCCGGGACAGAGGGCUGCCAACCCGCGAGGGGGAGCUAAUCCCAGAAACCCGGUCGUAGUCCGGAUCGCAGUCUGCAACUCGACUGCGUGAAGUCGGAAUCGCUAGUAAUCGCGGAUCAGCUUGCCGCGGUGAAUACGUUCCCGGGUCUUGUACACACCGCCCGUCACACCAUGGGAGUUGGAUUCACUCGAAGGCGUUGAGCUAACC
rnacentral:rRNA from 1 species